UACGUAGGGGGCAAGCGUUGUCCGGAAUCAUUGGGCGUAAAGAGCGUGUAGGCGGCUCGAUAAGUCUGCUGUGAAAGUCCAGGGCUCAACCCUGGAAGGCCGGUGGAAACUGUCGGGCUAGAGUCCGGAAGAGGCGAGUGGAAUUCCCGGUGUAGCGGUGAAAUGCGCAGAUAUCGAGGAGGACACCGGUGGCGAAGGCGGCUGCGUGGCGAUACUGACGCUGAGGAAGCGAAGGGACAGUGGGGAGUCGAACAACGG
rnacentral:rRNA from 1 species